CUGUGAAGGGAGACCCGUGAGGGCUCCUGGAGAUAUCAGAAGUGCGAAUGCUGACAUGAGUAACGAUAAUGCGGGUGAAAAACCCGCACGCCGGAAGACCAAGGUUUCCUGUCCCAUGCUAAUCAGGGCAGGGUAAGUCGGCCCCUAAGGCGAGGCAGAAAUGCGUAGUCGAUGGGAAACGGAUUAAUAUUUCCGUACUUGUUAUAUCAGUGAAGGGGGGACGGAGAAGGUUAUGC
rnacentral:rRNA from 1 species